GGAACGUGAGUGACUGAGCGGCAAAGCCCGAAUGGUCUCUAGCGACCGGCCCGUGUCACUGGAGGACGAGGUCUCCCAUAGUAUGAAGGAGAUGAUUGGAGGCUGUUGCGUUUGCUCAGACGAGAGAGGCUGGGCCGAGAACCCGCUGGUUUAUUGCGACGGGCACGGCUGCAGCGUCGCGGUGCAUCAAGCUUGCUAUGGCAUUGUUCAAGUACCCACUGGACCAUGGUUUUGCAGGAAAUGUGAAUCUCAGGAGAGAGCAGCCAGAGUGACUCUACUUCAUGAGGCUGGAACCAUGACUGCUGGCAGCUCUUGUUUCCAGCCCCUUUUACCAGAAGAAGGGGCUCUCUAGAAGAAUCCUGGAAAGGACUCUGAUUGGCCUGUCUUGGAUCAUGUGCCCAUCAUCUCUGUGGCUGGAGUGGGGAGGGUACUGUGAAUGGCAACCCUCACUAGAACUACAUAGUUGGAGUCAGGGAGAUGUGAACUUUGUCCCCAUAAGGAUGGAGCUUUAAAAAGAACAGAUAAUGGGGGUUGGGCCCAUGUGGUUUGUGCCCUGUAUAUUCCAGAGGUACAAUUUGCCAAUGUUUCCACAAUGGAACCAAUUGUUUUACAGUCUGUUCCGCAUGAUCGUUAUAAUAAGACUUGCUACAUUUGUGAUGAACAAGGAAGAGAAAGCAAAGCAGCCACUGGUGCUUGCAUGACAUGUAAUAAACAUGGAUGUCGACAGGCUUUCCAUGUAACAUG
rnacentral:sRNA from 1 species